UACGUAGGGUGCGAGCGUUAAUCGGAAUUACUGGGCGUAAAGUGUGCGCAGGUGGCUGCGCAAGUCGAGUGUGAAAUCCCCGAGCUUAACUUGGGAAUUGCGCUCGAAACUACGUGGCUCGAGUGUGGCAGAGGAAGGUGGAAUUCCACGUGUAGCGGUGAAAUGCGUAGAGAUGUGGAGGAACACCGAUGGCGAAGGCAGCCUUCUGGGCCAACACUGACGCUCAUGCACGAAAGCGUGGGGAGCAAACAGG
rnacentral:rRNA from 1 species